GGGAAACCGAGUCUUAACCGGGCGUUAAGUUGCAGGGUAUAGACCCGAAACCCGGUGAUCUAGCCAUGGGCAGGUUGAAGGUUGGGUAACACUAACUGGAGGACCGAACCGACUAAUGUUGAAAAAUUAGCGGAUGACCUGUGGCUGGGGGUGAAAGGCCAAUCAAACCGGGAGAUAGCUGGUUCUCCCCGAAAGCUAUUUAGGUAGCGCCUCGUGAAUUCAUCUCCGGGGGUAGAGCACUGUUUCGGCUAGGGGGCCAUCCCGGCUUACCAACCCGAUGCAAACUGCGAAUACCGGAGAAUGUUAUCACGGGAGACACACGGCGGGUGCUAACGUCCGUCGUGAAGAGGGAAACAACCCAGACCGCCAGCUAAGGUCCCAAAGUCAUGGUUAAGUGGGAAACGAUGUGGGAAGGCCCAGACAGCCAGGAUGUUGGCUUAGAAGCAGCCAUCAUUUAAAGAAAGCGUAAUAGCUCACUGGUCGAGUCGGCCUGCGCGGAAGAUGUAACGGGGCUAAACCAUGCACCGAAGCUGCGGCAGCGACGCUGAUGCGUUGUUGGGUAGGGGAGCGUUCUGUAAGCCUGCGAAGGUGGCCUGUGAGGGUUGCUGGAGGUAUCAGAAGUGCGAAUGCUGACAUAAGUAACGAUAAAGCGGGUGAAAAGCCCGCUCGCCGGAAGACCAAGGGUUCCUGUCCAACGUUAAUCGGGGCAGGGUGAGUCGACCCCUAAGGCGAGGCCGAAAGGCGUAGUCGAUGGGAAACGGGUUAAUAUUCCCGUACUUGGUGUUACUGCGAAGGGGGGACGGAGAAGGCUAUGUUGGCCGGGCGACGGUU
rnacentral:rRNA from 1 species